GAUGAAGAACGCAGCGAAAUGCGAUACUUGGUGUGAAUUGCAGAAUCCCGUGAACCAUCGAGUCUUUGAACGCAAGUUGCGCCUCAAGCCAUUAGGUUGAGGGCACGUCUGCCUGGGCGUCACAUAUCGUUGCCUGAUGCCAGUUUCCUCGUGAUGGGUGACUGUGCAGGGCGAAUGAUGGCUUCCCGUGAGCAUUGUUGCCUCAUGGUUGGUUGAAAAUUGAGUCCUUGGUAGGGAGCGCCGUGAUAAAUGGUGGUUGAGUGACGAACGAGACCCAAUCAUGUGAGACCCCUACCGAAUUUGGCCUUCAUGACCCACAUGCGUCUUUGGAACGCUCAUGACGAGACCUCAGGUCAGGCGGGGCUACCCGCUGAGUUUAAGCAUAUCAAUAAGCGGAGGA
rnacentral:misc_RNA from 1 species